rnacentral:other from 1 species
AGUAACCUGAAAUGUGCGACAAAGUCUUGUUAUUUUGAACCUACAGAUACUUUAAACGGGAUUCCUAUAUUGCCAUAUAGAUGUCAGGCCUCCGGCUAAUAAGGCCUUAUGCAGUGGAAGACAGAAGUAUGGUUGCGGUUACCCACCUAGCUUAGCUAGGAGUCAAAAUACAAGAUUCGGCAUUUUGGGGCAAUA